AUUGAACGCUGGCGGCAUGCUUUACACAUGCAAGUCGAACGGUAACAGGCCGCAAGGUGCUGACGAGUGGCGAACGGGUGAGUAAUGCAUCGGAACGUGCCCAGUCGUGGGGGAUAACGCAGCGAAAGCUGCGCUAAUACCGCAUACGAUCUAUGGAUGAAAGCGGGGGACCGUAAGGCCUCGCGCGAUUGGAGCGGCCGAUGUCAGAUUAGGUAGUUGGUGGGGUAAAGGCUCACCAAGCCAACGAUCUGUAGCUGGUCUGAGAGGACGACCAGCCACACUGGGACUGAGACACGGCCCAGACUCCUACGGGAGGCAGCAGUGGGGAAUUUUGGACAAUGGGCGCAAGCCUGAUCCAGCAAUGCCGCGUGCAGGAAGAAGGCCUUCGGGUUGUAAACUGCUUUUGUACGGAACGAAAAGGCUCUGGUUAAUACCUGGGGCUCAUGACGGUACCGUAAGAAUAAGCACCGGCUAACUACGUGCCAGCAGCCGCCGUAAGAC
rnacentral:rRNA from 1 species